AAGAAGAAAGCUUGUGAAUUGGGUUCGGUGUGCGGUUUCAUUUAGAAAGACAGAAGAGAUAAAUCCAGCCGUAUACAGUACUUUUUAUUCCUAGUUUUUCCUCUGAUUAUCGAAAGUUAUUUUUCAACCUACUUUGUUUUAUAGGAGAUCAUAGCAUCUUUGUUGUUCAUUUUCUUUUAAUUUCAUUUGUUUUCUUCUGAUCACAGAAAGACAACUAGAUAAGAACAUCUUGAGUUUUCUUUCCUCUCCUGUUCCUUUUUUAAUUCUUCGUCACAUGUAAAGAAGAUAGGCUUGAUAAAAGAGUUUGGGCUCUCAAUCAUGUUCUUUUGUUAAGAUUGUGAGCAGGUUCUACCUAAUUUUCUCUAACAUAUCUCAAAUCUUUCCACGUAAUUUUGAUUCUCUAGAUCUCUUAGAUAUCCUUCUAUUCUGUGAAUCUUUUGAGUUUGAGGUAAAUCCAUCGGUAUACAGUACUUUUUACUCUUGUUUUUCCUCUGAUUAUCGAAACUUAUUUCUCAACUUACUUUGUUUUAUAGGAGAUUACAGAAUCUUUGUUGUUCAUUUUCUUUUAAUUUCAUUUGUUUUCUUCUGAUCGCAGAAAGAUAACUAGAUACGAAACAUCUUGAGUUUUCUUUCCUCUCCCGUCUUUUUUUUUUUAUUCUUCCGUAAUAUGUAAAGAAGAUUGGCUUGAUAAAAGAGUUUGGCUCUCAAUCAUGUUCAUUUGUUAAGAUUGUGAGCAGGUAAUACCUAAUUUUCUCUAACAUAUCUCAAAUCUUUCCACGUAAUUUUGAUUCCCUAGAUCUCUUAGAUCUCCUAUUCUGUGAAUCUUUUGCGUUUGAGAUAAAUCCAUCCGCAUACAGUACUUUUUAAUCCUUGUUUUUCCUCUCGAUACUUAUUUCUCAUCUUACUUUGUUUUAUAGGAUAUCAUAGAAUCUUUGUUGUUCAUUUCCUUUUAAUUUCAUUUGUUUUCUUCUCAUCGCAGAAAGAUAACUAGAUACGAAACAUCUUGAGUUUUCGUUCCUCUCCUGUCUUAUUUCUUUUAUCCUUCGUAAUAUGUAAAUAAGGUAGGCUUGGUAAAAGAGUUUGGGCUUUCAAUCAGGUUCAUUUGUUAAGACUGUGAUCAGGUUCUACCUAAUUUUCUCUAACAUAUCUCAAAUCUUUCAACGUAAUUUUGAUCCUCUAGAUCUCUUAGAUCUCCUUCUAUUCUGUGAAUCUUUUGAGUUUUUUUGUUGUGUAGUUCUAAAUAAAAACACAGAGUUUUUCAAAGGAAAAUAAAGGGGGGAAAAAAAAAUAUAAGAGAGUCGCUAUGGAACAUUCUCCUUUGAAUCCAACAAGAAUUGCCAACGUUAAUGGAAGAUCUAUGUUCAUAUCUUUUAAUUCUUCCCUUCCUUUGAGCCACCAUCACUUUUUGAAUGGAAGUUUGGGGCCAUUAGUGUCACAUCCUCCACCAUAUAAUUCUCUUCCAUGUUUUGCUUAUCCUUCUCUACGUCAGCCCGCCCUCCUUCCUCUCCCUGACACAAAAUCCACACAGAUUCUGUCGCCAGCCAAGAAGACUGCCACGACCACCAGAUUCAAUCAGCAACAGCAUCAGAGGAAGUCGAGGCCCUCGGCAAAGCCGAAGAACGGAAAAGCCACCAUCCUUGCAACGGACCAGAAAUCCAAGGCAGAAUCAUCGGAAGAAGAACAAGAGGAAAGGGAGGAUGUCGUGGAAUCGGUUUACUCGAUCUCGCCUCCGCCAAGCAGCCUUCCAUUGCCGAGAUUCUCUCUUCCAAGGCCGAAGUCUGCUGCCCCAGCCGCAUCCUGUGUCAUUGAGGCCGUGGAAGGUGGUGGCGGCAUUGACAUCGGCGCCACCAAUAGUCUCCGCCGCUUGCUCCGCCUUUAGGAGAGCAUGCUAGUUUCUUUUCUAUGUGUGAUUUUUGAUGUGUCCGUUGAAAUUUAAAUUUCCAUAGCUGGAAGAAAAUGAAAGGCUUAGCACUAAAUGAAUACCAAUCACAAUAAUGUAUGGACUUUAAAGAUGUGAACAGGUUUAACUAAACUUCUCGAUGUAAUUAGCAAGUCUCGGUUUGCAAAUUGUUGCGGGAUGGGCAUCGGGGGGCAUCGAGCCCGAAAGUCGCAUACCAGAAACAUACAAGAGAGCCUACUAUUUAUUAGUGUGAGUUCCUCCUCUCCCACGUGAGGCGCCUUUUGGGGGCAAAACCGUGAGGGGCGGAUGAUACCGGAUCAAAGGUUCGGAUCUCGUCCCAAAGCGGAUAAUACUUCACGAUUGGAUGAAGGAGAUGGUUCCGUACUAAGGGCAGUAGAUCUCAACAGAUGGCGCCGUCUGUGGCAAUC
rnacentral:lncRNA from 1 species